rnacentral:rRNA from 1 species
UACGGGGGGGGUAAGCGUUGUUCGGAAUUACUGGGCGUAAAGGGCUCGUAGGCGGCCAACUAAGUCGGACGUGAAAUCCCUCAGCUUAACUGGGGAACUGCGUCCGAUACUGGAUGGCUUGGAUUUGGGAGAGGGAUGCGGAAUUCCAGGUGUAGCGGUGAAAUGCGUAGAUAUCUGGAGGAAUACCGGUGGCGAAGGCGGCAUCCUGGACCGACACUGACACUGAGGAGCGAAAGCCAGGGGAGCAAACGGG